UGAGGAAUCUUGCACAAUGGGCGAAAGCCUGAUGCAGCGACGCCGCGUGGGGGAUGAAGGCCCUAGGGUCGUAAACCCCUUUCAGCAGGGACGAAAAUGACGGUACCUGCAGAAGAAGCCCCGGCCAACUACGUGCCAGCAGCCGCGGUAAGACGUAGGGGGCGAGCGUUGUCCGGAUUUAUUGGGCGUAAAGGGCUCGUAGGCGGUUACGUAAGUCGGAUGUGAAAACUCCAGGCUCAACUUGGAGACGCCAUCCGAUACUGCGUUGACUUGAGUUCGGUAGAGGUGUGUGGAAUUCCUAGUGUAGCGGUGAAAUGCGCAGAUAUUAGGAGGAACACCUAUUGCGAAGGCAGCACUCUGGGCCGCAACUGACGCUGAGGAGCGAAAGCAUGGGUAGCAAACAGGAUUAGAUACCCCCGUAGUCC
rnacentral:rRNA from 1 species